rnacentral:rRNA from 1 species
AGCGAACGCUGGCGGCAGGCCUAACACAUGCAAGUCGAACGAAGACUUCGGACUUAGUGGCGGACGGGUGAGUAACACGUGGGAACGUGCCUUUAGGUUCGGAAUAACUCAGGGAAACUUGUGCUAAUACCGAAUGUGCCCUUCGGGGGAAAGAUUUAUCGCCUUUAGAGCGGCCCGCGUCUGAUUAGCUAGUUGGUGAGGUAAAGGCUCACCAAGGCUACGAUCAGUAGCUGGUCUGAGAGGAUGACCAGCCACAUUGGGACUGAGACACGGCCCAAACUCCUACGGGAGGCAGCAGUGGAGAAUCUUGCGCAAUGGGCGAAAGCCUGACGCAGCCAUGCCGCGUGGAUGAUGAAGGUCUUAGGAUUGUAAAAUCCUUUCACCGGUGAAGAUAAUGACUGUAGCCGGAGAAGAAGCCCCGGCUAACUUCGUGCCAGCCGCCGCGGUAACAC